rnacentral:lncRNA from 1 species
UGACAUUGCGUGUCUUGGGGCCACCAGCAAGGCUCAGUGAGAGUGUGAGCCCAAGGGCUGUCUUCCCACUCAGGCAGGCCAGCCCCUCCUGCCCCACUGCCCACCCCUUCCCCCAUGUGCUCCGGCUCAAGUGACCCCACCACAGGCCCUGUCCCAUGCACAAAUAUGCCACAGACAGGCAAGGACACACUAAUUUUAUUUUGAAAUAGGGACUGCAAGGGCAGGCUGUAUUGAGAAGGAUGGCCCCCUGGUGUGAUGAGCUUGGGGCCUCAUCUGCUCACCGUGCACGCCCUGGAGUCCUGCUACCCAGCAUGUCCAAACUAAGGGCACCCCCCUGGGAAGGGAUGCAGAGACGGGGAGCUUCUCUGUAUCCCCUUACAGGCAGGACAGGGGGCUGGGGUGCAGAAGCACUCUGGGGAGACCUGCCCUAGCUUUCCAGCUGGGAGGAGGGGACGAUCUGGGGUCCAGCAGGCUCCCGGGCUGGGGUCCACUUCCCGUUCUCCCUGGGAGUGGAGACCGACCAAGCCUCUCUGUGGGCAGGACUGAGGGGUGGGCCUGUAUCUCCAGAUGUUGAGCAGGGCCUGGCCAGCCCCUGAGGGGGCAUCCUAGAGGGAGGUGGUGGGCUCCUGGUGACUGGUAUUAAUAUGUAGGGGGAGACCUGAGGUUGCAGUCCCAUCCUGGUGUCCAGGUGCCAUCUGGGCUAGGGAGGCAUCUCCUCAACAGGAAUCCUGAGCAGGGUUUAGAGCACAGUGGGCAGGAGGGGGAGGGUCUGGACUUCAGCAGGGCCUCGUGCUAGAUGAUGCCAUAUUGGGCCAGCUCGUGCAGCUCCAGGUGGUUGAAGGCCUCCCAAGGGCAGAUGACUGUGAUGUCUGUGGGAGAAACGGGCCACGGAUCAGAGAGGAUCCCACGGCCUAGGGACCCCCCCAUCCCCUGUGGCCCUGUUUCCCACAGCCCAGGUGUAGCCCUACAGUGUGCUGAGCGGGGACGUGCGGACGCUGGAGUGGGGCCCUCCUCUGGGGACACACUGGCUGU